GGUGAAGAUGUAUUAAAAAAUAAAGGAACUUUGAUGGCAGUUUGUUGGAGUGAGGAAUCAAAACUGGAUUUUCAGCACAUCUUAGUAACUCAUCAUUUAAAAAAUGUCAGAGGAACCACAACUGAGCAUUUCUUCUGUUCCCACCUGUGCUUUGGGAUGCGAAAGAAUAACAUUAGCACACAGAGACCUUGACUUCCUCUUGGAUGCAUCUGGAUGGUUUUAUUAGGCAGUCCACUGAGCCUGUGAUCAGUCUGAGAGCAGCUGAUGAUCAGCAUCGCCAAGAUAUGGUACUGGGCUGCUGAUCAAUUUUGUGUCUUUCAGAAGACUUGAAAAAUUAGAUUCAUGAAACAUCACUCUCAUAAAGCACAGCCUCACCAUGAGAACAUGAGGGCAGCCACAACUGUAGAAAGUAUCUUCACCAGCAACCUUUCACCCUCUGACAAAUCUUUUCUUCUUGAAGACCAGAAAGAUUGUUAUUGAGCCUUCCACAAAGCUGAAAUAAUGCUGUGUGUUAAAAAAAUGUUAACAAUUUGAAGAAGUUAUAAAAAUUUAUAAGUUGACUGAAUACUUUGGAAAUUUCUGCAUAUUUUAAUAUAAAUAGG